rnacentral:rRNA from 1 species
AAUCAACGCUGGCGGCGUGCCUCAGACACGCAAGUCGAACGAGAAAGUCCCCUUCGGGGGAUAAGUAAAGUGGCGCACGGGUGAGUAACACGUAGGUAAUCUACCUUCGGGUGGGGAAUAACCCAGGGAAACUUGGGCUAACACCGCAUAAUGCAGCGGCACCACAUGGUGACAGUUGUUAAAGCGGGGGAUUUUCGAACCUCGCGCCUGAAGAGGAGCCUGCGGCGGAUUAGCUAGNGGUGAGGUAACGGCUCACCAAGGUCACGAUCCGUAGCCGGCCUGAGGAGGGCGGUCGGCCACACUGACACUGACAUACGGGUCAGACUCCGUAC